CAGUAACCACGGGAAUACAGAGGGUGCGAGCGUUAAUCGGAUUUACUGGGCGUAAAGCGUGCGUAGGCGGCUUUUUAAGUCGGAUGUGAAAUCCCUGAGCUUAACUUAGGAAUUGCAUUCGAUACUGGGAAGCUAGAGUAUGGGAGAGGAUGGUAGAAUUCCAGGUGUAGCGGUGAAAUGCGUAGAGAUCUGGAGGAAUACCGAUGGCGAAGGCAGCCAUCUGGCCUAACACUGACGCUGAGGUACGAAAGCAUGGGGAGCAAACAGGAUUAGAUACCCCCGUAGUCCCUGUCUCUUAUAA
rnacentral:rRNA from 1 species